rnacentral:snoRNA from 1 species
UGGGCCGACACUGAUGACUGUUGCCGAGUGGGGCAUACGUGAUGGUUAGGUGUCUGGAACUCUGGGGUCCAA